rnacentral:rRNA from 1 species
GAUGAACGCUGGCGGCGUGCCUAAUACAUGCAAGUCGAGCGAACAGAUAAGGAGCUUGCUCCUCUGACGUUAGCGGCGGACGGGUGAGUAACACGUGGAUAACCUACCUAUAAGACUGGGAUAACUUCGGGAAACCGGAGCUAAUACCGGAUAAUAUAUUGAACCGCAUGGUUCAAUAGUGAAAGACGGUUUUGCUGUCACUUACAGAUGGAUCCGCGCCGCAUUAGCUAGUUGGUAAGGUAACGGCUUACCAAGGCAACGAUGCGUAGCCGACCUGAGAGGGUGAUCGGCCACACUGGAACUGAGACACGGUCCAGACUCCUACGGGAGGCAGCAGUAGGGAAUCUUCCGCAAUGGGCGAAAGCCUGACGGAGCAACGCCGCGUGAGUGAUGAAGGUCUUCGGAUCGUAAAACUCUGUUAUUAGGGAAGAACAAAUGUGUAAGUAACUAUGCACAUCUUGACGGUACCUAAUCAGAAAGCCACGGCUAACUACGUG